UACGUAGGGGGCGAGCGUUGUCCGGAUUUAUUGGGCGUAAAGAGCUCGUAGGCGGUUUGGUAAGUCGGGUGUGAAAUCUCCACGCUCAACGUGGAGGGGCCACUCGAUACUGCCAUGACUCGAGUCCGGUAGAGGAGUGUGGAAUUCCCGGUGUAGCGGUGAAAUGCGCAGAUAUCGGGAAAGAACACCUAUGGCGAAGGCAGCUCUCUGGGACGGUACUGACGCUGAGACGCGAAAGCGUGGGGAGCGAACAGG
rnacentral:rRNA from 1 species